CUUACCAGGUCUUGACAUCCUCUGACAAUCCUAGAGAUAGGACGUCCCCUUCGGGGGCAGAGUGACAGGUGGUGCAUGGUUGUCGUCAGCUCGUGUCGUGAGAUGUUGGGUUAAGUCCCGCAACGAGCGCAACCCUUGAUCUUAGUUGCCAGCAUUCAGUUGGGCACUCUAAGGUGACUGCCGGUGACAAACCGGAGGAAGGUGGGGAUGACGUCAAAUCAUCAUGCCCCUUAUGACCUGGGCUACACACGUGCUACAAUGGACAGAACAAAGGGCAGCGAAACCGCGAGGUUAAGCCAAUCCCACAAAUCUGUUCUCAGUUCGGAUCGCAGUCUGCAACUCGACUGCGUGAAGCUGGAAUCGCU
rnacentral:rRNA from 1 species